rnacentral:rRNA from 1 species
GAUGAACGCUGGCGGCGUGCCUAAUACAUGCAAGUCGAGCGAAUGGAUUAAGAGCUUGCUCUUAUGAAGUUAGCGGCGGACGGGUGAGUAACACGUGGGUAACCUGCCCAUAAGACUGGGAUAACUCCGGGAAACCGGGGCUAAUACCGGAUAACAUUUUGAACCGCAUGGUUCGACAGUGAAAGGCGGCUUCGGGUGUCACUCAUGGCUGGAACCGCGUCGCAUUAGCUAGUUGGUGAGGUAACGGCUCACCAAGGCAACGAUGCGGAGCCGACCUGAGAGGGUGAUCGGCCACACUGGGACUGAGACACGGCCCAGACUCCUACGGGAGGCAGCAGUAGGGAAUCUUCCGCAAUGGACGAAAGUCUGACGGAGCAACGCCGCGUGAGUGAUGAAGGCUUUCGGGUCGUAAAACUCUGUUGUUAGGGAAGAACAAGUGCUAGUUGAAUAAGCUGGCACCUUGACGGUACCUAACCAGAAAGCCACGGCUAACUACGUGCCAGCAGCCGCAGUAA